UAUUAUUUUAAACUGAGUUAAAUUAUGGGUCUUUCAGGGAUCGUGUAGGACAACCAUAACGGAAGAACUGUAAAUUAUUUUCUGACACCAGAUGGCGCUAUGCACCAUGGAAACCAGAGUGAAGCCUGAGCGAUACAACAACAGUCCAACACACUCUGCAUGAACUGUUCAGUGUCCUCAUUUCCUUCCAGUGCUCCUGGGAAUGUCCUGAAUCAGUCUGGCCCCUGCUCCCGACCCCGAGCCACAGAGAAACACUUUCUCUGUGAAACCACACAAAAGAUGCAGUCAGUGUGUGUGUCGGGAGGAUGCUGUCAUUUUCUCACCACAUGGUCACACUGAAGUGCUUCAACGACAAGGUCAGCACUGCAGAAUGCCAAAGAUACACUGUAAGGGGGGGCGCUCUCGGGCCAGAGUUCCCCACACAGACACCACUAUUACCGCACAAUGGUGGUCUGUCUGACUAAACCCUCGGAGCAGCUCGUCUGGGUACAUUCAACCCUUAAAACACCACCGGCUGUAAUCCCCUUGUUAAUGAGCAGAAGCCUGGAAAACAACAAGAUCCCAUCCGAUGGAUAAAUGUGAGAAUAAGUGCAGGGGUCCAUGAUAUCACAGCCCAUUCUGAGCCUCAUGGAGCUUUAAGAGUAGCUAAAGUCCACCUUCUUAUAUUAGUCUUACUCAUAUGUGCAGUCACGCUGUCUACAACCCAACCUUAUUCAAUGUAUAAUCACAUUUACCUUCUUUAUCUCCUAUUCAUACCCCAAGAGGAGGCUUAACUGAAAGAGUAUAAUCCUAAAAAUCUUUGAUAGACUUCCCGUUAGUCUGCAUAUUGAGCACUUAGUGAAAAAGCUGAAGGUUAGACUGAGUUUAUUAUGGAAAUAGGGUCUUCUUUUAAUGUAGCACCUAGGAAUACACUUGUACAGGCUUUAAUCCUAAAUAUUCUUGAUUAUAGUGAAAUCAUUUACAAGCAUUGUCUAACUGUGCAUCACACUUCUUUAUUUUUCAUGUCAAAUUAGUUGUCCAGUCAUCACUGUGUACUUUGGCUGGUUUCUUGGCUGUCAGUAAGCAUAAAGAGACGCCCUUCUUAGCUCUGCAAACGCUGACAAACCGCUGCUGUGAUUUGCCUCACAUUAGAUGGCUCCUCUUUGACUGACUGAUCGAUUGAUCGCUUUAUUUUGAACAUGUAAGUAAAAAUGUAAUAAAAAUAGGCAGAAAAUAUGCAUUGUAAAUAUGUAAACGAAGAAAAAAGUCACAGUUUACAUUGUUGAAAAGGAGCAGCACACGAAUUAUGAACUAAGCAGCUCACGUAUGCACACAUAAGCAUACACAACAUUCAACAUGCAGUUCACAAACUAACCUGACUGGACACAUUUGUGUCCCUUUACCUGGUAACAAUAAUAUCAUUGUAUUUCUUUUCAGCUGUUUUAUGUUUGUUUCCAAGCUUAGUUUUUACUUUAUUUUAUUCUAUUGUUAGUGUUGUUUUGAAUUUUACCAUUUUUGACUGUAAGAACAGAAAAUUAGUGUGUUCAACAAAUCCAACAAUAUCAGCAGUUCACAGCUGUUCUUGUCACUUUUACAACAAUGUCCUCCGACAUUACAAAGAGCAGUCAUAAAGUAGUUAUAAAACCGUAGCACCAGUAAAGAAUGUGAAUGAUUUCUCAUUUAUUACGUGCUUCAGACAGUUUGUCUCGAAUGUGUUUCAUGUGAAAUUAGCAGCAAGUACAGAGUGAAUGGUUUCUAUAUUUCUCAUAUAUUGUUGUACAUUCUCUGAUGGUGUGUUAAUUUUCCUCUGGCAUAUUUACAUUGACAUGUUCGUUAAGAUGUCCCACUUCAGAAUAAAUAAAUUCACAUCCUAC